GCAUAUCAAUAAGCGGAGGAAAAGAAACCAACAGGGAUUGCCCCAGUAACGGCGAGUGAAGCGGCAACAGCUCAAAUUUGAAAUCUGGCCCCCCCCCCGGGGGGCCCGAGUUGUAAUUUGCAGAGGAUGCUUUGGGCGAGGCGCCUUCCGAGUUCCCUGGAACGGGACGCCACAGAGGGUGAGAGCCCCGUCUGGUCGGACGCCGAGCCUCUGUAAAGCUCCUUCGACGAGUCGAGUAGUUUGGGAAUGCUGCUCAAAAUGGGAGGUAUAUGUCUUCUAAAGCUAAAUACCGGCCAGAGACCGAUAGCGCACAAGUAGAGUGAUCGAAAGAUGAAAAGCACCUUGAAAAGGGGGUUAAACAGUACGUGAAAUUGUUGAAAGGGAAGCGCUCGUGACCAGACUUGGGGCGGGCGGAUCAGCCGGCGUUCUCGCCGGCGCACUCCGCCCGUCCCAGGCCAGCAUCAGUUCGCGCCGGGGGACAAAGGCGGCGGGAACGUGGCUCCCCAGGGAGUGUUAUAGCCCGCCGCGCCAUGCCCCGGGGGCGGACUGAGGGCCGCGCAUCACUGCAAGGAUGCUGGCGUAAUGGUCACCAGCGACCCGUCUUGAAACACGGACC
rnacentral:rRNA from 1 species